rnacentral:miRNA from 1 species
AAAACUGUUCUUAAGUCUGGAU